CCUACGGGGGGCUGCAGUGGGGAAUAUUGGACAAUGGGGGGAACCCUGAUCCAGCCAUGCCGCGUGUGUGAAGAAGGCCCUCGGGUUGUAAAGCACUUUCAGUGAGGAAGAACGCCUGGUGGUUAAUACCCAUCAGGAAAGACAUCACUCACAGAAGAAGCACCGGCUAACUCCGUGCCAGCAGCCGCGGUAAUACGGAGGGUGCGAGCGUUAAUCGGAAUUACUGGGCGUAAAGCGCGCGUAGGUGGCUUGAUAAGCCGGUUGUGAAAGCCCCGGGCUCAACCUGGGAACGGCAUCCGGAACUGUCAAGCUAGAGUGCAGGAGAGGAAGGUAGAGUUCCCGGUGUAGCGGUGAAAUGCGUAGAGAUCGGGAGGAAUACCAGUGGCGAAGGCGGCCUUCUGGACUGACACUGACACUGAGGUGCGAAAGCGUGGGUAGCAAACAGGAUUAGAUACCCUGGUAGUA
rnacentral:rRNA from 1 species